GUGGGGAAUAUUGCACAAUGGGCGAAAGCCUGAUGCAGCAACGCCGCGUGAGGGACGACGGCCUUCGGGUUGUAAACCUCUUUUAGUAGGGAAGAAGCGAAAGUGACGGUACCUGCAGAAAAAGCACCGGCUAACUACGUGCCAGCAGCCGCGGUAAUACGUAGGGUGCAAGCGUUAUCCGGAAUUAUUGGGCGUAAAGAGCUCGUAGGCGGUCUGUCGCGUCAGCUGUGAAAACUGGAGGCUCAACCUCCAGCCUGCAGUGGGUACGGGCAGACUAGAGUGCGGUAGGGGAGAUUGGAAUUCCUGGUGUAGCGGUGGAAUGCGCAGAUAUCAGGAGGAACACCGAUGGCGAAGGCAGAUCUCUGGGCCGUAACUGACGCUGAGGAGCGAAAGCGUGGGGAGCGAACAGGAUUAGAUACCCGGGUAGUCC
rnacentral:rRNA from 1 species